UACGUAGGGGGCUAGCGUUGUCCGGAAUCAUUGGGCGUAAAGCGCGUGUAGGCGGUUCGGUAAGUCUGCUGUGAAAGCCGGGGGCUCAACCCUCGGAUGCCGGUGGAUACUGUCGGGCUUGAGUACGGAAGAGGCGAGUGGAAUUCCUGGUGUAGCGGUGAAAUGCGCAGAUAUCAGGAGGAACACCAAUUGCGAAGGCAGCUCGCUGGGACGUUACUGACGCUGAGACGCGAAAGCGUGGGGAGCAAACAGG
rnacentral:rRNA from 1 species